rnacentral:rRNA from 1 species
UAAUGCCGGAUGCUCCAGUUGAUCGCAUGGUCUUCUGGGAAAGCUUUCGCGGUAUGGGAUGGGGUCGCGUCCUAUCAGCUUGACGGCGGGGUAACGGCCCACCGUGGCUUCGACGGGUAGCCGGCCUGAGAGGGCGACCGGCCACAUUGGGACUGAGAUACGGCCCAGACUCCUACGGGAGGCAGCAGUGGGGAAUAUUGCACAAUGGGCGCAAGCCUGAUGCAGCGACGCCGCGUGAGGGAUGGAGGCCUUCGGGUUGUAAACCUCUUUUAUCGGGGAGCAAGCGAGAGUGAGUUUACCCGUUGAAUAAGCACCGGCUAACUACGUGCCAGCAGCCGCGGUAAUACGUAGGGUGCAAGCGUUAUCCGGAAUUAUUGGGCGUAAAGGGCUCGUAGGCGGUUCGUCGCGUCCGGUGUGAAAGUCCAUCGCUUAACGGUGGAUCCGCGCCGGGUACGGGCGGGCUUGAGUGCGGUAGGGGAGACUGGAAUUCCCGGUGUAACGGUGGAAUGUGUAGAUAUCGGAAAAGAACAC